rnacentral:misc_RNA from 1 species
AACGCAAAUUGCACUCUCUGGCAACCCGGGGAGUAUGCCUGUUUGAGGGUCAGUGUUAAUAAAAAUCGGUGCGUUGCAAUUUUUUUUUGUGAUGUUUCCGGAGUUUGAGUUAUCUUAAUUAACUCUCUUCUGGGUUUUUAAGAGGCUUAAAAUUGACCUUCUUUGUGCAUUUUAGACGUACAUAAAUUUUUUUUUAUUCGUCUAUCUUAAUGCCAAAAUCUAUUAGAUGCGACCAUAUCAUGUGGUUUCGUGUCCAUAAAUUUUUCACGAUUUGACCUCAAAUCAGGUAGGAACACCCGCUGAACUUAA